UACGAAGGGAGCGAGCGUUGUUCGGAAUCACUGGGCGUAAAGCGUGCGUAGGCGGUUUUAUAAGUCAGAAGUGAAAGCCUGGGGCUUAACCUCAGAAUUGCUUUUGAGACUGUAAAGCUAGAAUCCUGGAGAGGUUAGUGGAAUUCCGAGUGUAGAGGUGAAAAUUCGCAGAUAUUCGGAGGAACACCAGUGCGAAGGCGGCUCACUGGCCCGGUACUGACGCUGAGGCGCGAAAAGCGUGGGGGAGCAAACAGG
rnacentral:rRNA from 1 species